CGAGAUGGAGCCGAACUCACUGAAGUGGGUGGGCUCGUCUUGCGGUUUACAUGGACCAUAUAUAUUCUAUAAAGCCUUUAAAUGUACCCGGGAUGGCAAAGCGAGAAUCCUCGCUCUCGGAGACUUUUUCUUCGUCAGAUGCAAACCCGAGGAUCCUAUAUGCAUAGCGGAGCUCCAGCUUCUCUGGGAGGAAAGAACAAGCAAGCAACUUUUAUCCAGCUCCAAACUUUAUUUCCUACCCGAGGAUACUCCCCAGGGACGAUCCGUCGCUCACGGAGAGCACGAGGUCAUCGCCGUGUCCGAGAAGGUGAUCGUGCGACUCCAGGACCUGGUGAAGUGGACGGUACCGGACUUCUCGGGAUGGGCCAACGGUCUGAAGGUGGAGCCGCUCAAACCCUCGGUGCUCCGCGAGCUGGGGACCAACGGGCGGCGCGAGGCCCUCCACCGCUACAGGGAGAGCACGCUGACCAGCGGCCUCAACUUCAAGGAUGUCCAGAGGGAGCGGGCGCAGCUAGGACAAGAAGAGGAUGGACGGAAAGUGUUAGUCCUCAGUUACUCCCAGUACUGUCGCUACCGCUCCGUUCUGGCUCGGCUCAGAGAGCAGCCGUCCUCGCUGUUCAUCGAUCACACGGUGCUGGCGCUGGGCGGUAUUCCUGCACUGGGCGGCAGCACGAGAAUCCUGUACUGCCGCGACACCUUCGAACACCCCACCCUGCUUCAGAAUGAGAGCAUCUGCGACGAGUUUGCUCCGAACCUGAAGGGGCGACCUCGAAAGAAGAAGCUUUCCAUCUCUCAGAGGAGGGACACCCAGGGUCAAGCUCCAGGUCAGGGCUCGUCGGGGUCGACCCAGGGUUCAGCAGCUGUGGCAGCUCCGGACCCCUCGAGCCCAGAGAGCAAACCUACAACCAAGGUCAAGCCCGGCUGUAAAACGGUACCCAACGGAAAACUAACCACGCCGGGCAAACAAAGGCCCGCCGGGCUCAGUAAGAAGUCCUCACCUGAGGAGAAGGAGAGAGGAAAGGAGAAGGACAAGGAGGAGAGGAGUGAGAAAAAGGACGAGAGGAAAGAUGAGGAGACUUCAGAGGAGAGCCGCGCGGAGGAGCAGUCUUUCUUGGUAGAGCUCUACAAGUACAUGAAAGAACGAGACACGCCCAUAGAGAGGAUCCCCUUCCUCGGCUUCAAACAGAUCAACCUUUGGACCAUGUUUCAAGCUGCUCAGAAACUUGGAGGAUAUGAGUUGAUCACGGUGCGCAGGCAGUGGAAGCACGUAUACGACGAGUUGGGCGGAAACCCCAGCAGCACAAGCGCCGCCACGUGUACGCGGAGGCACUACGAAAGGCUCCUCCUUCCUUACGAGAGGCACCUUAAAGGCGAACAGGACAAGCCCCUCCCGCUGGCCAAACCCAGGAAGCAGGAGGGCAGCCAAGAGAAGGCGUCUGGAGCCGGCGUCAAAGUGAAAGUAGUAGGGCCCAAGAAACUGAAAGGCCCCAACCAUCCGAAGCUGAGUAGUAAGAAGGACAGAGGAGAGGUGAAACAAGAACUAACACAGGAGUCAAAGGUGAAAGAAGACAACCAUGAGAUCUCCACAGCCAUAAAAAUCGACGCCGCUCUUCAAGACGAACCGAUUGUAAUAGAGGAGGAAGAGUUACAUGUCACCCUGAAGAAAGAGGAGUCGUUGGCCGUGGAGCAGCCGUCCUCGCUCUGCCUCAAAGAAUCUGACUGCAGAUCGCCCCACAGUGGUUUCUCCCUCCACACAGGGCCUUCCGCCCAACCAGAAUGGAGGCAGAUCGGCGAGGCGCUCCAAGCGAAGCUCGCAGGCGAACAGCAAACUGAAGGGCAUUUCAUUCCAAAAACGUCUUUCCUGCUUCCCCGCUGGGAUCAGACUAAAGCUGCUGGACAUGUGGCUCUGCCUGAGCACUUCUCCAAGGUCAAAGACUGCAUUGAGAAUCAUGGCGGGAGAGUGGGGAAAGUGUUGCCUAUGUGCAAGCAGGUGGAUGGACAGUGUAUAGAUUUGAGCACGGAUUCUUACUCGGAGAAGGACGACUACGGGGCGAUUAAGAAGGAGUCGACCCAGACAGCCGUCUACUGCAAAGCCAACCAGGGGGUCAUGUCUCCGUUGGCUAAAAAGAAGCUCCUGUCCCAGGUGUGCGAGUCCAACCCGUACUCCUUUUCCUCUCUUCAGUCUCCCCCUCCCGCAGCGGUGUCCUCUCUCCAUCGAGGUGAUCGAGAGAAGGAGAAAAGAAAGAGUGAAGAAGAGUUGCUGGGACAAAGGUACCAGGGUGCGUCCGACAGCAUCCCUGAGGUCUCGCCCAUAUUCAGGCCGUCGGUGAUCCAGCACGCACAAAGCAGCAAGGCUCACCAACACACCAGCGGAGGGCAAUCGGAGAGGAUCGCUGCGGCGGAGCUGUCGGACUCUUACAGCCGGACGAGUCAUCAAAUUCAGCCGCAGGCGAGCGUGCCCUGGCAGCCGUACCUUACCAGAACCCAAACCCAGGACUGUGCGGAGACCGCCGGGAAAAAAAUCCUCCAAGGUCCAGUCACCCAGUGCAGGAGCUAUACGGGGGACUGCUACUCAUCCCCUCACCUUCACAGAUUGUACAGACAGACUGAGAGCUGCCUGAGCCAAGAGAGAAUGGCUGGCUUUCCUGGCGGAGAGCGGAGAGAGCACUACAGCAGGGAGGGCGAGGGCGGCCAAAGCUUUGUCUGUGCCGGUCUGGAGCAGGAAGGGUUGGUGUACAGAUCUCACUACGGUGACAGGACUCAGACGCAAGCAGAGAAUGGAGAGGCUGAAGACGAGCCCAGAGACUUUUCUAUUUCUAAACCUCUAUCUCAAAGGGUUUCCUCCUUUUCCAAGCCCUCUUUCUGUAGUCUCUCCUAUCCCAUCAUGCACCACGGUUUGGAUUCCCAUCCUAAGGCGUGCAGAGUCUCGCCUAUGACAAUCUCUACCCCCAAACAAAGCUCACCAGAUACUUCUCAGUCGUUUCCCAGCCCCAAAGCCUCAGGCGAACUGUCCCUCAACAGUCCCAUUCGGCCCGGUAAGCGAAGCCUGGCAGAGGCGGACAGCGAAGACGCCCCGGAGAGGAAGGUGCGAGUGGUGACCCCUAUUCACCCGGCCAGCACAGUCCGACGAAGCGACCCUGAGGAGCUGAAACCCGCUGAGCCAGCCCACGCCAUUCACCUCAACAAUCAUCUCCCCGAGGGCCACUCUAUGACCGCCUACCCUCCGCCCCACACCGCGCCCCUCUAUGCUGGCAUUUAUCCACACGGCACGCUGGUGUCACCAGGCUCCCAGGAUGGGCUCCAGCAGCACCCGGGCCUGCAGUACCUGAAAAGCCAGUCGGCCGUGUCCCCGCUAAUGCCCCCUUUCACCAUCCACUCCAUGAUGCUCCACAGGCAGCUGCUAGCCUCCAGCCCCAGCCCCCACCACCUCUACAGGUACCCGGGCGGGGCGGCACUGUACGGAGAGCUGUUGCACCACCUCUACCCUCUCUCGACCCUCCCCCCACCUCAGCUGUCGUCGGUACACCCCAGCACCAGACUUUGAGGGAGAGGAAACACAUUUUCUUUUCUUCACAUUGUUGAAACUGUGUCGGCUUAUUUUCAUUCACAUCGUGGCUUGAGUCGAGGCAAAACUAAGAUCAUACGUUUUGCCGAUGACAAACUGCUAAAUCCAUCAGUCGGACUGCAAAUUACUUUUUUUUUUCUAACUGUGUAUGCCUUCGUUUAUAUAUCUUGCACUGCUCUUUAUUUUUUAUCACCUCUUACUGUAUCUUGUUGUUGCUUUUGUAACCCUAUUUGCACAAUGCUCGUGUGUAUUAUGCUCACAAAUCAGCUUGUCGCUUUCAGUGACCCACGAGUCAGGUUUGUUGCUCUGGAACAUGAGAAGUUGAGGGAAGUAGAGAAAAGCCAUUUGUUUACUGUGUCUGAGGGCUAAACGUAGUUGCCUAAAAACACUAAAAGUAACAUGACAAUGAAAUACAAACUCUUAACCUCAGUAUGUAUGUUUUUGCAAGCAGGCACGGGCCGGUAUGAGAUCCUUAGAGGACAGUCAGUUUGAGUAGCAGUACCACAGUAUUCACAUAAAAAUAAAGCAAAAAUCUGUACCAUUAUCUAACUUAUUUCAUUUAAAGCAGAAAAGCAUUGUACUUUCCCAACUUCUGCAAAGAAUUUUAAGUUCGUUGUUACAGUUAUAAUCAAGCUAGGGCAACACACAUUAGCGCCUUCAAACUUGUUCCCAAAAGUUCGUGUCCAUCCAACAACAUCCCGCGACGACAGUGACUGAUUGGUGGCUGACACUACUGGAUUAAAUACCCAGAGAUCCCUUUAAAACCGUUUCUAUUCACAAGCGACAAAGCUCAUUUAAGGCUAGAGUCCGGUAAUCUGUUCUCUCUCUGCACACUUGAGCACGACGCGCCCCAUGAGUGUUAAGCAUUAUUUGACUAGCAUUAACUAGCACAACUGAUUCACUCUUCUCUAUACCUGAAAUAUUCAUUUGUCAUUUUGAUUUUAAUACCAAAUUAAUAAAAAUACAUAAGAAACAAAGUUUUUAAGAGCUUACUGUGCAUAAUACUGAUUAAUUAGUCAGGCUAACUGCUCCGGUAGAGUUUGCAAUCAGUGUCUUAACAGAAAUGCAGCUUGUAGCUUGGCAACCGUGGUUUUGCAAGUGUUAAGUCUUUUUCAUAAUGGGAAAUAUUUUCAAACAUCAAAAUUUGUCUUACUUUUAACUGAGGGUAAAGUGUAGCAGCCUUCUGUCAAGAAGCUAACUGUUAGUGCACAGCAUUAGGUGGGGGAGGGACAGAACUGUGUUGAUUUACAGGCCUGGAAACAAAUUAAGAGACCGCCUAAUUUGGCUAUAUUUUCAGUUACAGCUUUCAAAUGCCUUGACAUAUUCUCUACAGUCUUUCAUAUUACUGUAUUUUAUUAACUGUGAUACAUGUAGAAAUGCUGUUUUCAGAGCUCUCUCAAUUUUUUUCCGGGGCUGUAGGCCACAAAAGUUAGAGAAAACUGGUCACUGUAGCAUCUCGUUGAAAAGAUUCUUGACUUUAGAAGCAGGAUGACAAAAACGGUUUGCAAUUUUGAAGACACAACUUUUUAAAACCAGUAACCAGCCCAUGCCUAAUUGCUACCAAAAUAAAGCAGCUGAAUCAUUUGUUGUUUCUCUCCAGGCAGCCAGUGCUGUUGUGUCUGUUUACAUGUCUCCACGCUGAACUUUGUUCCUUGCUUGUGCCGCAGUAAAUCCAGCUGGAGUGGACUGAUUGGGAUAAACGUUAACACCCGCUGUGGCGCUGCUUAACACGAACAGUUUCGUCACGACCACAUUCAGAGGUGCUGUGUGUAACAGAUGUACUGUAGAGUCGCUCUUUUACAAAAUUCAGGACCGUCUUUGUUGUUUUUGAACGCAUCUUCCUCCGACGCGUUCGCAUUUGUUUGCAAGUCAUGGCUGUUUUGUCUUCGGCCCGUGUGACUUUCAUGAAAGUGUGAUGAAAGCAGUUGGACCUCGGAAUAUUUUUGUGACUAGUAGACUGUUGUGGCUCGUUUUGCGUCUGCAGGAACAGCGUAAUGAAGCAGCCGUGUGCUGUGGAAUGCUCACCACAAGGAAGAAGCCAGUUUCGGAAAACAGCUGAUGAAGACACGACUUUCGGUGUCUGGUCAUCUGCAGGGCACAUUCUCUAGCCGCGAUGUAAACGGUACCAAACUCCAUAAAGAAUUCCUACCGCACUCCGCAGCCCCGAGGUGCAAAGACAACACCUGCGCUGGCUUUUUUACAACCACUAUAAUUGCAAUCCAGGAAAGCUGAAAUACACAGAGAACUUUUUUUUUUUUGCUGUUUAAAGCAAGGAAUUUUAUUUUAUUUUAUUUUUAAAAAGCUGUAAACAUCUACGAUUUUGCUGAACACUUAAAAACAUUCAUUACUGAUUCUAGUACUGUAGAUUGCUGUGUGUAGGUACGCUGGCUCCUGUACAGAACAUUGACACGGAGGGAACUACUCACAGCAAACUCUCUCUUUUUUGUCUUAAUAUCUGUGUAAAUAGCACUGUAGAUAACACUGCGUGGGUGUUCUCAUAUAAACUGUUAUAA